rnacentral:ncRNA from 1 species
CUUAUCAAGAGUGGCAGAGGGGACAGGCCCUGUGAAGCCCGACAACCUGCGCGUGACCCGCGUAAGGUGCCAAAUCCUGCGGGAAACCGGAAGAUAAGA